GACGAACGCUGGCGGCGUGCUUAACACAUGCAAGUCGAACGGAAAGGCCCUUCGGGGUUCCCGAUUGGCGAACGGGUGAGUAACACGUUGGUGAUCUGCUCUGCACUUUGGGAUAAGCGUGGGAAACUGGGUCUAAUAUCGCAUUGGACCACGAUCUGCAUGGUGUGUGGUGGAAAGCUAUUGCGGUGUGGGAUGGGCUCGCGGCCUAUCAGCUUGUUGGUGGGGUAAUGGCCUACCAAGGCGACGACGGGUAGCCGGCCUGAGAGGGUGACCGGCCACACUGGGACUGAGAUACGGCCCAGACUCCUACGGGAGGCAGCAGUGGGGAAUAUUGCACAAUGGGCGCAAGCCUGAUGCAGCGACGCCGCGUGAGGGAUGACGGCCUUCGGGUUGUAAACCUCUUUCAAUAGGGACGAAGCGCAAGUGACGGUACCUAUAGAAGAAGCACCGGCCAACUACGUG
rnacentral:rRNA from 1 species